GCCAACGUGGCGUAGUGGUUAACGCACCUGCCUAGGAAGCAAGAGACCCGGGUUCGAUUCCCGGCCUUGGUA